ACCGUUUUGGUCCUAGACCUAUUAUUAUUUUUAGCCCCACUUACACAUGCAAGCAUCCACACCCCAGUGCUAACACCCACCUACAACACCCCUUGGACUUGGAGCAGAUAUCAGGCACACAUACGUUAGCCCAAAACAUCUAGCCACGCCACCCCCCCACGGGCCCCAGCAGUGAUAAACAUUAAGCAAUGAGCACACACUCGACUUAGUCAGAGCUAAAUAUACCACAAGGGCCGGUAAACUCCGUGCCAGCCACCGCGGUUAUACGUAGGGCCCAAAAUAAUACCCACGGCGUAAAGCGUGCUUAAAGAUAUAACUACCACAAGGACAUAAAACAAGCCCACAGUAGUAAAAUACGUUCCUACUAGAAACACCAGAUCCACCAAACUAGUAAAUCUUGACCACACGAAAGCUAAGACACAAACUAGGAUUAGAUACCCUACUAUGCUCAGCCAUAAACCAAGGCAACCGCCCCACCAAACCUGCCCGCCAGAGAAUUACAAGCAAACGCUUUAAACCCAAAGGACUUGACGGUGUCCCACACCAACCUAGAGGAGCCUGUCCUAUAAUCGAUACCCCACGCUAAAUCAUACCCCCACUCGCACCCACAGCCUAUAUACCGCCGUCGCCAGCUAGCCUGAUGACAGCACACCAUAGCCAACAAAACAGUUCACCACUAACACGUCAGGUCAAGGUGUAGCUAAUGUGGGGGGCUGAGAUGGGCUACAUUUCCUAUCUUAGGACACUACCAACCGCAACAUGAAAUAUAAGCCAAAAGGCGGAUUUAACAGUAAGAGUAGACAAGACAUACUACCCUGAAGCCAGCUCUGGGACGCGUACACACCGCCCGUCAUCCUCCUCACCAUAACACCAAACACUACAUAAACCACACCCAACCAAAUUAGAUGAGGCAAGUCGUAACAUGGUAAGUGUAUCGGAAGAUGCACUUGGAAA
rnacentral:ncRNA from 1 species